rnacentral:rRNA from 1 species
UACAGAGGUCUCGAGCGUUGUUCGGAUUCAUUGGGCGUAAAGGGUGCGUAGGUGGCGCUGUAAGUCGGGUGUGAAAUCCUGAGGCUUAACCUCGGAACUGCAUUCGAUACUGCGGCGCUUGAGGACUGGAGAGGAGACUGGAAUUUACGGUGUAGCGGUGAAAUGCGUAGAUAUCGUAAGGAAGACCAGUGGCGAAGGCGGGUCUCUGGACAGUGCCUGACGCUGAGGCACGAAGGUCAGGGGAGCAAACGGG